rnacentral:rRNA from 1 species
CCUACGGGAGGCAGCAGUGAGGAAUAUUGGUCAAUGGUCGGGAGACUGAACCAGCCAAGCCGCGUGAGGGAUGAAGGUACAGAGUAUCGUAAACCUCUUUUGUCAGGGAACAAAGGCGGGGACGUGUCCCCGGAUGAGUGUACCUGAAGAAAAAGCAUCGGCUAACUCCGUGCCAGCAGCCGCGGUAAUACGGAGGAUGCGAGCGUUAUCCGGGUUUAGUGGGUUUAAAGGGUGCGCAGGCGGUCUGUUAAGUCAGCGGUCAAAGCCCGGGGCGAAACCCCGGCCCGCCGGUGAAACUGGCAGUCUCGAGUUGGAAAGAGGUAUGCGGAAUGCGCGGUGUAGCGGUGAAAUGCAUAGAUAUCGCGCAGAACUCCGAUUGCGAAGGCAGCAUGCCGGCUCCACACUGACGCUGAGGCACGAAAGCGUGGGUAUCGAACAGGAUUAGAUACCCGGGUAGUC